AAAGUUCGCGAAAUCAUUGAAAGGCUGGCAACACCAAAGAGCGGUCUCUCUGAUGUGACACGAUAAAGAAUUUGCCGCCAUCUAGGAAUGUUGUCUUGGAAAGCCACAGUCCGUAUAACACAGAACAUUACAAGGUAUGUCAUGAUGCUGUUAUCUUUCGUUUCCUUCCGACAUAUGAUAAACUUAUUAAAUACCCUUACUUAUAAAUGCGAAGCAGAUUUAAACGUAGUUGAUUUUGUUCUCAUAUCAAGAGAUAACCGAUACUUACACUCAUUAAACAUACCUAUUUUUAUAUUUUUAUUAGGUGCGACAUCAUCGCACGUGAUAUUUUACCUUUUCGCCACUAAACCCCCAAACGGGCGAAUACAUGGUGGAGAUGCUGGGAUAUGAUCCCAUAAUAAAAAAUAAAAUUAUUGUCGGAAGGAUAAUGAAUGGCAUCGUUGACAUAUACCUAAACAAAAACAAAUCAUUGCUAAAAAGAAAAAAAAAAAAUUGUUUUGGUAUUUGUUUAUUAUCAUCCAGGAAAACCCUCGCUCACUCGAAACCUAUAAAACUCUUAUACAAUGUGGUGUUACUUGAAAGAACUGUAAUUACUUCUACGUUGUCUACAAAAGGAAAGUAAGAAUUUACUUUAAAACAUCGAGACUUCCUAGCGUCAUGUAUGUGUUGUGUGUCAAAUUCACCAUUAAUAAUAAUACGCGUCUACAUAUGGCGCGCAUGAUGAAUAACAAUGGAAAUUAUAAAAGUCCAGAUAAAUAAUAUUCAAUGUUACAUUAUGUAUGUUAAAUUUCAUGAAGUUAGGAAUUUUAGGUAGGUAAAAUUAUAAUUGAAUUUGUCAAUUUAGUUUAGGUACAAAGUAUUUUUUCGCUUAAGCGUCGCGUUUUAGAUUCAAUAUGUAAAUACUUUACUUCGAAAGAUUAUUAGAGAAUAAUACUAGUAUAAUUUAUCCGUUUGAAUUUUAGGUUACAGGUAGGGUGAUAACCAUGAACCACAUAACUUUUACCAAAAUUGUGAUGGUUCAGAAAACAUUCUAUUGACCGGAAAUGCUCGAUCAAAAUGCGCACUAGGGAUGUGCUUGUGGGCGUUUUGCAUUUAUGACCGAAUUUAGACUAUGUUAUAAUUGAAAAGUUUUGACGAUCGCAUUAAAUUUUGAAAUAUGUAGAUCGGACAGACAAAAUAGUAUUUGUUUAAAAAAAAAAAAAAAAAAUCUGUAAAUUAUGAAUGCAACAAUGUCGUAAUACUUGAUUCAAGUGAAGAAAUCUAUUAAAAUAUCUUAGGUAUGACUUAAUAAGAACAGGAAUGAAAACCUCAUAUAUUAUAAUUUUAUACCAAAAUUAAAUUUUCUCUUUUUAUUUCCUUAUAUGACUUGUGUAAUAAUUCUAACGGUUUGUUAGCUUAUAUUUACGCAUUCCUUUCUAGAACAAUAUUUUCCGGUACUAUCUGGAGCAAUAUUUUCAUAUUUUAACGCAAGCGUAACCGUAAAGUUUCUUUGUUCUACAAAUAUAUAAAAAAAAAAAAAAAAAUGGGGUGGCAUUUAUUGUUAUAUAGUCAUGAUAUAAUAUAGAAAGGUUGAAAAUUUAAAUUAACUGUUUGGACAACAUUCAUAAGUAAUGUUUUGUGUAAAGGGAAAGUAUCCUUAGAUGAGAGAUAAAGUAAUUAUAUUUUUUUUUUUCAUAUUCACGAAAAACAAUUCGAUCUUUAUACGAUUAUCGAUUUUCGAUUUUAUUUAUUUACAAACUAGUGCCACAUCUCUAAAACCGCGCGCUUACGC
rnacentral:lncRNA from 1 species